UCAGUCGCUAUCGGAACAACCACGAGGUUAAUCGGGGACCUUGGCUAAUUUUACACGUUUUUCUUCGUCAUCCCCUGGGAUACUUAUUGUAUAACGUGUGCUAUAUUUGUCCUGGCGACAUUUAAAACUGAAGAAAACCAAGGACCACGUGUUGAUGCAUAAAAGUUUAGUGUCUAAAAGUUGUGUUUUCUUCGAAGCCACCCCAUGUGAAAUCUCCAGGCACCCUAAAUUAUAAAUACGGGAGGAUUCCACGUAAUAUAAAUUGUUUUAGUUCAUCUUAAUUUAUCAAUUUGAAUAUGUAAAGUUAGUAAUAAUUUUAGGCGACGAUGACAAAUAUAUAUCUGCUAAACUGGAGGUUUUAAAAAAGAAUUUCUAGAAGCGAUGCCAUAAUGCUGUGUUCUUGAAAUUUAUGCAAGCUACGAAUUGAAGUCAUUGACGAUGGAACAAAGGAGGUGCCCAGAAUGUUAUAGUUUUCUCAUGACAUAUGAGUGAUCAAACAGAAUCGGAUGCGAAGUCAUGAACGAUGGAACAAAGGAGGUCCCCAGAAUGUUUUAGUUUUCUCAUGACAUUUGAGUGAUCAAAGAGAAUCUGGUGUGAACCCAAAGGUAUUAUGACAAGAUGCUCUAAAAUAUAAAGGGUUCAAUACGGAUAUUCUACAACUACUGUCACAAGAAGAUUAAGGAUGAAGUCCAUUCUAUACAUUGCUUCAAAGAAAUAUCAAGUACAGCCAAUAUAAAGAAGAAUAUAUUAAGCUUUAUUUACAUAAAAUUGGUGCAGUGGUAGUGUAUUUAUACUGCGGUGGUAGCGGUAAUUUCUAAAUGAAGUUUUCGCAAUAGGCAGUAUGGUAUCAUUAUAGUAUUAACAAAUCACGUUAUUAAUGUUUCUGCACUACACACACAAAUACACUUCAACUGCACCAACGUUUAUGUGAAUGAGCUACUAGUAACUGUGUACUAGAUACUGAAAAUUAAUCAUUUAAAUUUAAAAAUUAAAAUAAUAAGUAGUCAUGUAUGUUACUUAAAAUAGGUAAUAUUUUAAGCAACAUGUAUAAAUUGCCAUUUAUGUUAUGUAAAUUAUAUUAAAAUUUAGAUAUUAUUAAGUAUAUUAUAGGUAUUUAUUAUUGUCAAUAAUAAGGUUUAUAACCUGCUUCCCCAUAAACAUUGGGUUUGUUAAUUUGGCAAUUAUUUCAAGCAUUCAUUAAAAAUGAGGUGAUUUGUUGACUGUGUUGUUUCUUAAAUCAUCAUUUCAAAUUGACCAUUUAUAUUAGUAUACUAUUAAUAUAGGGUAUUACAAGUCUUUCGUAUUUUCCUCAACGGAAAAUGAUUUGAUUUAGUUGAACUAAUAUUUCUCCCAAGGCUCUUCUUUCCAUGUCUACUUGGACCAUUACCCGCCUCGCUGAGACUAUAUACACUGAUGUCUCGUCCAUGCUUUCGCACGGCAAUUCUUCUCUAUCAGCCAUUCUUCAACUCACUGACACCACAAAACAAGCACACUCCAAACAAUCUAAGAUAAAUAAUAAAAUUCGCAAAUCUUCACGAAACGUGCCAAAUGGGCACUAACCAAGAGUUGGGACAUGCACUCUAGAGAACCCACACCACUAGUUUCGUCAAAAAACAACCAGUUAUGGGCGAAAACAAUACACAAACAACAGUAUGCUUCGGUUGAAGCACACGCUAAUGACUGCAGCCAAUAUCAGAAAGGCCUCCGUGUAACCAGUUUUACAAUUCCUGCACACCAGAGGCACGUGGCCGUGAACAACAUGUUCAAAUCCUUCGACAAGCUUGGUAGCUUAGUGAUCAAGCGACCAGCCGUCCGUGUACUUUAUUGUAAAACCUUUUGAGAAGUGCCUCUUCAGUUCCGUCAUUCCCUGAUCGUGGUUACUAAACACUCCUUGGAGAAUGAUGGGGGGUAUUCUCGUAGUCUUCUUUAUCGUGUUGGUCCCCUUAAUUUUGUCGUUGCUUGUAAGUUGUUUUGUUUUAUUGUGGUCGUUGUCAUUAUCGAUGUUUUCCGUUUCCGUGUCCACUUCAAUAAGGUCCAACGUUCACGGAAAAGGGCCGCAACAUCGUGCAGCAUCAAAGGCACCUCCUGGCUGUCCUCCAUUAGCACCAGGUCGUCCGCGAAUGCCAUGGCGGCAAUGGUACGGCCGUCGGCUAUCGUUCCCCCAGCGUCGUCGUGAUUGAGCUUCUCCAUGAGUUCAUCCAAAACGAAGUUGAACAGAAGGGGACUCAGUGGGUGGCCCUGCUUCACUCCUCGUCGUAUGUGUGUGGGUCUGGUAGACACGGAGCCCACCCGGACAGGAUGAUGGACCAAUGGAGGCUAGGUACAUUUUUGGGAAAGGACCUCCUACGUUCCUCCAGUCUCCCCUCUGCCCUCUCACACCUGGCCACGGCUUCAGUGGCCUGCGCCCUGACCAAUGCGAAUUGCUUCAGAAUGUGCGUUAUCACACCCUUUGAAACCUUUGAGUCCGCCCUACAUAGAAAUCCAAUUAAAUUUCUCUCGACUGAAGAAAUCACCUCCGACAGCCCACUGCCAUCGUGCUCGGCGCUGAAGUUCCUCAUCAGCCUCUUUUUCCCCUGACGCGCCACAUCUCCAGCCUCACUAAUACUGCAGGCGCUGGUGCAAUCAUCCAUCCGGUCUUCACCUGAUGAAUGGCAAUCGACAUCCGCCAUCUGGCCAAAAAAGCACGAAUGCCACGACUGGCUCGACACAGCAACAACACACUAACAAACUAUACAGUGGACACCGCACACUCCCAAAAACACUUAAGGAUGGCUUGGCAACUACCAGAGAAAAGUGGGGGUGAAAAACAUCACCCACUUUGUCCUUAGGGACCAUCCAAUCACUCAACAGUGUUCCCGGAACCGAGGACACUCAAUCACACCUGCACACAAAAUCUCAAUCGAAUCUUUCAAGAAACAACAAAGUCGCCCCUAACGCGACGCCAAAAGGACCGCAAUCAAAACAAAUGCGUACCCCAGUGAAGUACACCCUAUCUUCAAAAUUAGUGGUCAAGCGAUCAGUCGUCUGGGCGGACGCAAAGACUAUAUACACUUAUAGAUUGCUAACUCUGUAGUAAAUUUUGGUAACCAAAUAAACGUGGGCAGCGCCAUCUAUUGGGACUAAACAGUUCUAAAAUAACCCGCCAAGUAUUAGGGGAAUCCCAUAGGUCUAGGUUUAUAUUAAUUUUUUAUUUUUAUUUAUUAAAAUAAUAUUUUUAAUAAAAAACUCAGACUAUUAA